GUGCAAACUCGAUCACUAGCUCUGCCUGAUGUGGGAGAAGCUAAGGGAACCAGGUUUGCUAAAGUAAUUAUGGUGAUAGAAGUUAUUAGCCUCAGACAUUACUGAGGUUGCCCAUUCUAUCCUAGUACAGUA
rnacentral:snoRNA from 1 species